rnacentral:rRNA from 1 species
CGUAAAGCGAGCGCAGGCGGUUCUUUAAGUCUGAUGUGAAAGCCUCUGGCUCAACCAGGGAGGGUCAUUGGAAACUGGAGAACUUGAGUGCAGAAGAGGAAAGUGGAAUUCCAUGUGUAGCGGUGAAAUGCGUAGAUAUAUGGAGGAACACCAGUGGCGAAGGCGACUUUCUGGUCUGUAACUGACGCUGAGGCUCGAAAGCAUGGGGAGCAAACAGGAUUAGAUACCCUGGUAGUCCAUGCCGUAAACGAUGAGUGCUAAGCGUUGGAGGGUUUCCGCCCUUCAGUGCUGCAGCUAACGCAUUAAGCACUCCGCCUGGGGAGUACGACCGCAAGGUUGAAACUCAAAGGAAUUGACGGGGGCCCGCACAAGCGGUGGAGCAUGUGGUUUAAUUCGAAGCAACGCGAAGAACCUUACCAGGUCUUGACAUCCUUUGACCACUCUAGAGAUAGAGCUUUCCCUUCGGGGACAAAGUGACAGGUGGUGCAUGGUUGUCGUCAGCUCGUGUCGUGAGAUGUUGGGUUAAGUCCCGCAACGAGCGCAACCCUUAUUAUUAGUUGCCAGCAUUCAGUUGGGCACUCUAGUGAGACUGCCGGUGAUAAACCGGAGGAAGGU